rnacentral:rRNA from 1 species
GAUGAACGCUGGCGGCGUGCCUAACACAUGCAAGUCGAGCGGUAUAUACUUAAAUGAGAUUUCGGUCAAGUGAGGGUAUAGAGAGCGGCGGACGGGUGAGUAACGCGUAGGCAACCUGCCCCAUACAGAGGGAUAGCCUCGGGAAACCGGGAUUAAAACCUCAUAACGCGAGGAAUUCACAUGAAUUCUUCGCCAAAGAUUUAUCGGUAUGGGAUGGGCCUGCGUCUGAUUAGCUAGUUGGUGGGGUAACGGCCUACCAAGGCGACGAUCAGUAGCCGACCUGAGAGGGUAAUCGGCCACAUUGGAACUGAGACACGGUCCAAACUCCUACGGGAGGCAGCAGUGGGGAAUAUUGCACAAUGGGCGAAAGCCUGAUGCAGCAACGCCGCGUGAGCGAUGAAGGCCUUUGGGUCGUAAAGCUCUGUCCUUGGGGAAGAAAAAAAUGACGGUACCCUUGGAGGAAGCCCCGGCUAACUACGUG